rnacentral:rRNA from 1 species
GGCCUACCAUGGUGGUAACGGGUAACGGGGUGUUAGGGCACGACACCGGAGAGGGAGCCUGAGAAACGGCUACCACAUCCAAGGAUGGCAGCAGGCGCGCAAAUUACCCAAUCCCGACACGGGGAGGUAGUGACAAUAAAUAACAAUACGGGGUUCUUUCGGAUUUCGUAAUUGGAAUGAGUACAAUUUAAAUCUCUUAACGAGGAACAAUUGGAGGGCAAGUCUGGUGCCAGCAGCCGCGGUAAUUCCAGCUCCAAUAGCGUAUAUUAAAGUUGUUGCAGUUAAAAAGCUCGUAGUUGAAUUUCGGGAUCAUCAGGUUGGUCGUGCCUCUGGUAUGUACUUUCCUCGAUGGUUCCUCCUUCUUGAAGAUCCGUAAUGUCAUUAAUUUGGUGUUGCGGGGAAUCAGGACUGUUACUUUGAAAAAAUUAGAGUGUUUAAAGCAGGCAAUCGCUUGAAUACAUUAGCAUGGAAUAAUGAAAUAGGACGUUCGAUCCUAUUUUGUUGGUUUCUAGGAUUGACGUAAUGAUUAAUAGGGAUAGUUGGGGGCAUUAGUAUUCAAUUGUCAGAGGUGAAAUUCUUGGAUUUAUUGAAGACUAACUACUGCGAAAGCAUUUGCCAAGGAUGUUUUCAUUAAUCAAGAACGAAAGUUAGGGGAUCGAAGACGAUCAGAUACCGUCGUAGUCUUAACCAUAAACUAUGCCGACUAGGGAUCGGAUGAUGUUAAUUUUUUAAUGACUCAUUCGGCGCCUUAC